rnacentral:rRNA from 1 species
ACGAACGCUGGCGGCAUGCCUAACACAUGCAAGUCGAACGAAGCCUUCGGGCUUAGUGGCGCACGGGUGCGUAACGCGUGGGAAUCUGCCCUUUGGUUCGGAAUAACAGUUAGAAAUGACUGCUAAUACCGGAUGAUGACUUCGGUCCAAAGAUUUAUCGCCAGAGGAUGAGCCCGCGUAGGAUUAGGUAGUUGGUGGGGUAAAGGCCUACCAAGCCGACGAUCCUUAGCUGGUCUGAGAGGAUGAUCAGCCACACUGGGACUGAGACACGGCCCAGACUCCUACGGGAGGCAGCAGUGGGGAAUAUUGGACAAUGGGGGAAACCCUGAUCCAGCAAUGCCGCGUGAGUGAUGAAGGCCUUCGGGUCGUAAAGCUCUUUUACCCGGGAUGAUAAUGACAGUACCGGGAGAAUAAGCUCCGGCUAACUCCGU